AUUUUCUUUAUACAAAAGUUAUAGUUCAAAUUCAUGACCAAUUGACCAUUUAGCUAUAAAGUCACAUCUCAUUCUCAAUCAUCUAAAUCUUCCCCCACACUCUUUUUAUUCUUCUCUCACACUAUUUUAGUAGUACUUCUAAGCUCAAAAAGAUAAGCUUUUCUCUCAACACUUAAUAUUCCUUAUUCACCCCUUCUCCAAUUUGUUCCAUGUUCCUCUAAUCUCUCUCACAUUCAUCACUUCUCUCACACUCUUUUGUUUUAUGUUUUAUAUCUAACCAAAAAAUGAUCAUUUAUUGCUUUGGGUUUUAGAUCGGCUGUCCAACUUUGCUCGAGUAGAAGGGGAGGUGAAGUUGAAAAGUUUCUCUUCAUAGUAAAAAAGAAUGGAGCUUACCAUUAUGUGGUAAAAUAAUAUGAAAAAGUAGAUGGAGAAGGCAAAAGGCUGGAGAGAUAGGCCAAACUUUAGUAAUGCUGCUUUCUAUGCAGCCUCUUUGAAAUUUUUGUUCGUGAUUUUUGUCGAUGGAUAUCACCCACUGCUUUCGACUUGUUUGGGUCUUGGGACUUUCCUAUUUUUACCCACAUCAACACUGUUCCGGACAGAUCACCACUUUCUUUAAUGGAUCAAGCAUCACCACCCCUGUCAUCAAGACUGUCGGACAUCAUCACCGCAUGCAUCUCCUCUCCAGUGAAUUCACUGGCCCGUGAAGGACACAUGCCGCCCUGCCCGGUGUUGUCUGCCUCCUAUCAUCAGUCACAGGUAGAACAGAGGUACCUCUUUUUAUCGUGGUGAUUCAUUCUAAAAUUUGAGCAUUUUGGUUUGUAGUUCAUUUAAAACCAGUGUAUUUUGUUUUCUUGCUCGCUUUUUUUUUUCAGACUUUCAGCAUUGUUAAUGCGAUAGAGACAGGUGUUGGUCCAAUCUUUCAGUCGCAUUUAGGGGCUCUUUACUACUGUUUGUUUGCUAUUUUUAAUUCUCUUGAGCGAGACACAGUCGCAUUGCAUGGCAUAAAUCAAUAAGUCAGAAGAAAAUCUAGAGGUUUCAAGUUCAACCUUGAAUCUUGUAUAUACUAGCUCAUGGAGAACUUGGAUUCUUGAUUUUGGUGCCACUCAUCAUAUGAUAAUUGAUUCUCAACCUUUUUAACUUAUAACUCUCCUUCUAGUAUUAGUUAUUUUAUCAUUGCAGAUGGUUCUCAUACUCGUCUGAUGAUUGUAGAGACGUUGACCUUCAAUUCGUCAGGAGAAGAUCUAGAGAACAUCAUUGACUUGGAGUUUGAGUCUAAGUUUCUGGUUCUUGGCCCUAGCAUCCUUGAUACACCCAGUCCAUGUUCCUGCUUUUAAUCUUUCUCCUAGUUUUGUUUCUUAAUAUGAGUCGCCUGUUUUGAGUCAUGUUUCGGACUCAACUUCUAAACUUGAGUUUAUUUCUGUUAUGGUUCCUCCUUUUUCUUUUGUUUUGCAGAAACCGACACCUUCAACACCAGCAAAGAAUAAGGCUAGUGAGUCAACACUAGUGUAUCAAAUAAUAUGUUAACUCGACAUGAUCCAAAAACAACUCCAACCGCCUGAGCCAUGCCUAAGUACUAAAAUGAUUCCUCUAUUGGUGAUUCUUACAUUCUGAUACUUGUGAUGCCAAAUCAAAUGAUUUACACAUGGCUUUGAGAGAGGAUAAAAUGUCUUAUGCAAAAUAUAAAUAACUUAUUACUCAAUCUAUCUCCUCUAAACAUCUUUCUCCGCACUAUUAGAGUUUUAUUGCAGCUGUGGACUAUGAAAAUCCCAUCAUUUGUUCAAAAAGCAUUGAAACAUAAAUUUGGGUUCAAACUAUGAAUGGGAAAAUGAAAGCAUUUGAAGAAAAAAAUAAUGAAACUUGGGAAAUUGAUAAGAGAAGGCAAGGAGGCAGGAAACCCGUUGGAUGCAAGUAAACCAUUUAUACAUUCAAAGACAAAUCAGAUGGCACACUUGAUUGAUACAGGGUCAGACUAAUGGGAAGAGGUAUGCUCUCAAACAUAUGGCAUCGAUUAUGAUGAGACAUUUGUCGAGGGUGGCCGUUAUUGGUAAAAAGUAAAUCAAUCAUGAAAAUGAGCUAACCGACUAAUAAAGAGUAGAUUAAAGGGAAAUCUAGGUACAUCAGAACAUAAUCAACUGAUAGUCUACGGAGGGGAUAGGUAAUCUCAAUCCUAAGGGAUUGGGUUGGAGACCAUUUGCAAGAAUAAUGAUGGGUUCCCACGUCCUAAAAUA